ACGGGUGGCAUUAAUAGCCUAGGAAUCUGCCUGGUAUUGGGGGAUAACGUCCGGAAACGGGCGCUAAUUACCGCAUACGUCCUGAGGGAGAAAGUGGGGGAUCUUCGGACCUUCACGCUAUCAGAUGAGCCUAGGUCGGAUUAGCUAGUUGGUGGGGUAAAGGCCUACCAAGGCGACGAUCCGUAACUGGUCUGAGAGGAUGAUCAGUCACACUGGAACUGAGACACGGUCCAGACUCCUACGGGAGGCAGCAGUGGGGAAUAUUGGACAAUGGGCGAAAGCCUGAUCCAGCCAUGCCGCGUGUGUGAAGAAGGUCUUCGGAUUGUAAAGCACUUUAAGUUGGGAGGAAGGGCAGUAAGUUAAUACCUUGCUGUUUUGACGUUACCAACAGAAUAAGCACCGGCUAACUUCGUGCCAGCNGCCGCGGUAAUACGAAGGGUGCAAGCGUUAAUCGGAAUUACUGGGCGUAAAGCGCGCGUAGGUGGUUCAGCAAGUUGGAUGUGAAAUCCCCGGGCUCCACCUGGGGAACUUGCAUCCAAAAUAACUGAGCUAAAGUACGGUAAAGGGUGGUGGAAUUACCUGUGUA
rnacentral:rRNA from 1 species